UACAGAGGGGGCAAGCGUUGUUCGGAAUUACUGGGCGUAAAGGGCGCGUAGGCGGCCUUCUAAGUCGAACGUGAAAUCCCCGGGCUCAACCCGGGAACUGCGUCCGAUACUGGAAGGCUUGAAUCCGGGAGAGGGAUGCGGAAUUCCAGGUGUAGCGGUGAAAUGCGUAGAUACCUGGAGGAACACCGGUGGCGAAGGCGGCAUCCUGGACCGGCAUUGACGCUGAGGCGCGAAAGCCAGGGGAGCAAACGGG
rnacentral:rRNA from 1 species